UACGAAGGGACCUAGCGUAGUUCGGAAUUACUGGGCUUAAAGAGUUCGUAGGUGGUUGAAAAAGUUGGUGGUGAAAUCCCAGAGCUUAACUCUGGAACUGCCAUCAAAACUUUUCAGCUAGAGUAUGAUAGAGGAAAGCAGAAUUUCUAGUGUAGAGGUGAAAUUCGUAGAUAUUAGAAAGAAUACCAAUUGCGAAGGCAGCUUUCUGGAUCAUUACUGACACUGAGGAACGAAAGCAUGGGUAGCGAAGAGGAUUAGAUACCCUCGUAGUCCAUGCCGUAAACGAUGUGUGUUAGACGUUGGAAAUUUAUUUUCAGUGUCGCAGCGAAAGCGAUAAACACACCGCCUGGGGAGUACGACCGCAAGGUUAAAACUCAAAUGAAUUGACGGGGACCCGCACAAGUAGUGGAGCAUGUGGUUUAAUUCGAAGAUACGCGCAGAACCUUACCAACACUUGACAUGUUCGUCGCGACUCUAAGAGAUUAGAGUUUUCGGUUCGGCCGGACGAAGCACAGGUGCUGCAUGGCUGUCGUCAGCUCGUGUCGUGAGAUGUUGGGUUAAGUCCCGCAACGAGCGCAACCCUCACUUUUAGUUGCCAUCAUUAAGUUGGGCACUCUGAAGGAACUGCCAGUGAUAAGCUGGAGGAAGGUGGGGAUGACGUCAAGUCCUCAUGGCCCUUACGUGUUGGGCUACACACGUGCUACAAUGGUAUCUACAACAGGAAGCAAGACUGCGAAGUUAAGCAAAUCCCUAAAAGAUACCUCAGUUCGGAUUGCACUCUGCAACUCGAGUGCAUGAAGCUGGAAUUACUAGUAAUCGUGGAUCAGCGUGCCACGGUGAAUGCGUUCCCGGGUCU
rnacentral:rRNA from 1 species